CGCCGGUCAAACCCUAGUCCCGGAUGCCCUUCCCCCCUCUCUCAGAUCCCGUCGGCGCUGGAGCCACACAUCCCAUCCAUGGCCAGCGAAGGAAGGCUAGCGGAGGUCCCAUCGAUGGUGGAGCCACGGAUCCCAUCGGGGUUGGGCUCGACGGCCCGCAGGAGCAAAACCGCCCCGACCCGCCUCGUUUCCGCGCCUGAGGAGCAGGGAGCAACCCCAAAGCCACCAUGUCACUGCCCAUGGAGGUCCAUCUCUCGAUCCAUUCACCGCAGCCGCGAACCCUGUUCGAUCUGGUGCUGGAAUGUGUGAGGCAUGAACUGCAGCGCAUGUGUCCCCGUUGACCCUUGUCCACGCCAACGCGGGCCAGCCUCCACCGACGCCUCCCUCUGGCCCAGAUCCACAGCGCCCCGAGGGAGGCACAGAUCUCAACGAUGGCCAAUGUAUGCGGCGGCCGGGGAUGCACGGUGGGGAGAGAUGGUUUGGAGGGUGGCGCGCGGCGACUGGGGACGCACGCUGGGGAUAGAUGGUGGAGGAGGGUGGCACGCGCCUCGCCCAGGCCUCCUUCCACGCCGCAGCGGCGGAGUCCAAGCGCUCAUCAUGAGGACGCACGGGCGAGGAGGAUUUGGCGAGCUCCGGCGCCGAUUCCGUUGGUUCCGGCGAGCUCCGGCGCCGAUUCGUUUGGCUCCGGCGAGCUCCGGCGCCGAUUCGUUUGGCUCCGGCGAGCUCAUCCCCCUCCUACAGAGGGUGUUUUUUAAAUCGUUGGCCCGGCAUUUUUUUAACACUUGACACAAUGUAAUUAGCUAGUAUAGCUAGCAACUAUAGACUAAUGAUUAAUUAUAUUCGAGAUGAGACGGACCUUAAGUACUGAUUUGUGUUAAUCACUGGUGUUUUAAUUAGUUUAUGUUGUGUUAA